rnacentral:rRNA from 1 species
UUGAACGCUGGCGGCAGGCCUAACACAUGCAAGUCGAACGGUAACAGGAAACAGCUUGCUGUUUCGCUGACGAGUGGCGGACGGGUGAGUAAUGUCUGGGAAACUGCCUGAUGGAGGGGGAUAACUACUGGAAACGGUAGCUAAUACCGCAUAACGUCGCAAGACCAAAGAGGGGGACCUUCGGGCCUCUUGCCAUCGGAUGUGCCCAGAUGGGAUUAGCUAGUAGGUGGGGUAACGGCUCACCUAGGCGACGAUCCCUAGCUGGUCGGAGAGGAUGACCAGCCACACUGGAACUGAGACACGGUCCAGGCUCCUACGGGAGGCAGCAGUGGGGAAUAUUGCACAAUGGGCGCAAGCCUGAUGCAGCCAUGCCGCGUGUAUGAAGAAGGCCUUCGGGUUGUAAAGUACUUUCAGCGGGGAGGAAGGGAGUAAAGUUAAUACCUUUGCUCAUUGACGUUACCCGCAGAAGAAGCACCGGCUAACUCCGUG